rnacentral:misc_RNA from 1 species
GAUGAAGAACGUAGCGAAAUGCGAUAAGUAGUGUGAAUUGCAGAAUUCCGUGAAUCAUCGAAUCUUUGAACGCACAUUGCGCCCGCCAGUAUUCUGGCGGGCAUGCCUGUUCGAGCGUCAUUUCAACCCUCAAGCCCCCGGGCUUGGUGUUGGGGAUCGGCGUGCCCUCGCGGCGCGCCGUCCCCUAAAUCUAGUGGCGGUCUCGCUGUAGCUUCCUCUGCGUAGUAGCAACACUCGCACUGGAUCGCAGCGCGGCCACGCCGUUAAACCCCCCACUUCUGAAAGUUUGACCUCGGAUCAGGUAGGAAUACCCGCUGAACUUAAGCAUAUCAAUAAGCGGAGGA